AACAAGUAAAAAUGAUAAUGUAGAAAGCUUCGAAGAUAUAGAAUUUUUAAAGAAACAGCAAUCCCAGAGCAUACAUCUUUCAUAAUCUUGUACCAUUUCAAUUGAGACAUCACGGCCUUCACUGACAAGUCAAGAGAUUUUGGCUUUGUUGAAAGUUUUAUGAUGCGACAAAUCAUAUGUUAAAUUCAUAUGUUAAAUGAACUCAUUCCUAAGGAAACGCACACGAAAGAUGACGCUGCUACCGCUUUUGACAUACCUCUCCAGUUACAUGCGCAAAAGAAAAUUGUUUUGCAACAGAAAAAAUGUUAGCGCAUUCUGUGGAUUUUAAAGUACGGUCUAACUCAUAAACAUAAUUGAAAUAUAAGUUAUAUUACUUUAACUAUAUUUAAUUAUUAAUGUAGAUAAUA